GUGAAUCAUCAAAUUUUUGAACGCAAAUUGCACUCUCCGGUUUUCCGGGAGAGUAUGCCUGUUUGAGUGUCAGCCUAAAAAAAAUCGACAUUGCUGCUGUUAUUUAAUGGUGACUUUCGUCGGAGAGUGUUUUAUCUUAAACCUUUUUUUUUUUUUUGGUUUAAGCGACUUAAACUCUUUCUUUACGAUUCCAUGACGGU
rnacentral:misc_RNA from 1 species